rnacentral:rRNA from 1 species
UACAGAGGGUGCGAGCGUUGUCCGGAAUCACUGGGCGUAAAGGGCGCGUAGGUGGCAGGCCAAGUCAGUGGUGAAAGCUCGAUGCUCAACAUCGAGUCGGCCACUGAUACUGGUUUGCUCGAGCACUGUAGAGGCAGAUGGAAUUCCGGGUGUAGCGGUGGAAUGCGUAGAGAUCCGGAAGAACACCGGUGGCGAAGGCGGUCUGCUGGGCAGUUGCUGACACUGAGGCGCGACAGCGUGGGGAGCAAACAGG